AUGGCGACCGGCGCACGGGUGAGUAACACGUAUCCAACCUGCCGAUAACUCGGGGAUAGCCUUUCGAAAGAAAGAUUAAUACCCGAUGGCAUAAUUAGACCGCAUGGUCUUAUUAUUAAAGAAUUUCGGUUAUCGAUGGGGAUGCGUUCCAUUAGGCAGUUGGUGAGGUAACGGCUCACCAAACCUUCGAUGGAUAGGGGUUCUGAGAGGAAGGUCCCCCACAUUGGAACUGAGACACGGACCAG
rnacentral:rRNA from 1 species